CUCUAUGGCAGCUAUGCGUGGGGCACACUCGUGUGCGCCGGUUCCUGUAUCACCGGUCUGUCAACCCACGUACAGCUGCCACCCUC
rfam:Pseudomonas alkylphenolica strain KL28 chromosome, complete genome.